AGUGCGGCUCCGGCAGUGGCAGCGGAGGCCUGUGUUUGCGGCCUUCGGCAAGCGACUGAGAUGGCGAGCGCAACUGCACCUGCAGCCGCAGUCCCCACCCUGGCUUCGCCUUUGGAGCAGCUCCGGUACUUGGCGGAGGAGCUGCGGUUGCUCCUGCCUCGAGUGCGGGUCGGCGAAGCCCAGGAGACCACCGAGGAGUUUAAUCGAGAGAUGUUCUGGAGAAGACUCAAUGAGGCAGCUGUGACUGUGUCAAGGGAAGCCACGACUCUGACCACAGUCUUCUCUCAGCUUCCACUGCCGUCUCCACAGGAAACCCAGAAGUUCUGUGAACAAGUCCAUGCUGCCAUCAAGACAUUUAUUGCAGUGUACUAUUUGCUUCCAAAGGAUCAGGGUAAGCCACAUAAGUGUUGCAUUUAUCGUGUAGAUCUUUGCUAAUAUUGUGGAUUAUGUCUUGUGACUUUUACCUUUACCCAACUUGAACAUGUAACUUUCUCCCAUAAAAUACAGUGAAGGAUAAUUUUGUAAUGUAAGUGACUUAUAUAAACAAGCCAUUAUUCUAAGAUACAGAUGCUUUGUU
rnacentral:sRNA from 1 species